rnacentral:tRNA from 1 species
GGUUCUAUGGUGUAAUGGUUAGCACUCAGGACUCUGAAUCAUGCCUUUUGAGUUCAAAUCUCAGUAGGACCU